rnacentral:rRNA from 1 species
CCUACGGGUGGCUGCAGUGGGAAUAUUUGGCAAUUGGCGCAAACCUUACCCAACAACGCCGCGUUAAGUAAGAAGGCUUUCGGGUUUUAAACUUCUUUUGUCAGGGAAGAGUAGAAGACGGUACCUGACGAAUAAGCCACGGCUAACUACGUGCCAGCAGCCGCGGUAAUACGCAGGUGGCACGCGUUGUCCGGAUUUACUGGGUGUAAAGGGCGUGUAGCCGGGUUGACAAGUCAGAUGUGAAAUCCUGCGGCGUAACCGCAGAACUGCAUUUGAAACUGUUGAUCUUGAGUGCUGGAGAGGCAGACGGAAUUCCUAGUGUAGCGGUGAAAUGCGUAGAUAUUAGGAGGAACACCAGUGGCGAAGGCGGUCUGCUGGACAGCAACUGACGGUGAGGCGCGAAAGCGUGGGGAGCAAACAGGAUUAGAUACCCUUGUAGUC